GACGAACGCUGGCGGCGUGCUUAACACAUGCAAGUCGAACGAGGCUCCUUCUUCGGUUGGGGUUCUAGUGGCGAACGGGUGAGUAACACGUGGGCAACCUGCCCCUGGCUCUGGGAUAACUCCAAGAAAUUGGGGCUAAUACCGGAUAUGACCGCUGAUCGCAUGGUCUGGUGGUGGAAAGAUUUAUCGGCUGGGGAUGGGCCCGCGGCCUAUCAGCUUGUUGGUGGGGUAGUGGCCUACCAAGGCGACGACGGGUAGCCGGCCUGAGAGGGUGACCGGCCACACUGGGGACUGAGACACGGCCCAGACUCCUACGGGAGGCAGCAGUGGGGAAUAUUGCGCAAUGGGCGAAAGCCUGACGCAGCGACGCCGCGUGGGGAUGACGGCCU
rnacentral:rRNA from 1 species